ensembl:lncRNA
GUCUGUCAUUUACAACCAAAUAAAGUGAUUCAAAAAGUGUGUUUGAAGCUCGAAAGUUUACAUAUAUACUUCUAGCGGCUCUAUCGCUACAGUGCAAGCAGCAUGUAGAAGUAUUUCCACAAGGCGGCAGUAUUUAAUCAACUGAGACUUGUCUGGAAUACACAUUGAGAAUUCAUUCCAUGUAGAAUGCCACGUAAAUAAAUCACACAUGAGGGAGAAGAACAGCCUGAAAUGCACACAUACGUUUGAUACCGUAUCUCAAAGUAAUUUAUGCGUCUGUUGGUUGUGCAAAAAGUUGUUUUCUUUCUUUCAGAACAGUGAUUACGUUUAACCACAGUUAUGAAUAGACAGGAAACAUAUAUAGAAUACAUUUAUAGAGAUGGAAAAUAUAUAUAUAUAUCUUAUACUUCGUGGCCAGUUCGAAUUAAUAGUUAUUCUCCGAGCAUACUCAAUCACAGCACUUAGAGGUCGGCUGUGAAUACCAUCUGCUCGAAAUGCAUCAUGGGAAAUGUUGUUCAAAAAGGCGGUGGACUCUCACGCAACACCUGACACCACCUCACAGCGCUUUUCUGGUGUUGCGUAUUUAAAUGCAUAAGAAUAAACGAUUGGGUUAGUCGCUCAAAUAAAUGAACAAACAAAAUAACGGUUCGAAGCUUAGCGAUAAAUCAUUUAAAGAACUACACAUCCCAGUAGACCGUUAACGCGAUUGGAGAAUAUGGGGUGAGGGAUGUCCUGUUGAGGUGGGGGGGCAACACACACCGACUACUGGAAGCAUUGUGAGAAUUACAUUGUUGCACAUUAUCCAAGGGCUUAGAGAUGAUAAAAUAACGGACAGCGGGAUCAAAUCCUAGUGCACAUCUGCAUUAGAAUACUACGUGGACGCUGGAAACCACCACCGGCAGAGAAUUGAUGUGAAUAAUCAUAUGGAAGCUGAAUGCUGUUCAUUUAGUGCAACAUCUACAACAGUCUGCAGAAAUUUACAUUCCAGAGAGGAGGUGAAGUGCGUGUCUUUACAUCCAAAAACUGCCCCAGCUUUAAGAAUACACUAUGAUGAAGGGUUAUGCCUCCUAAGAGGCAUAGCAAGUUUAUUCAAAGUAGACACAGCUCAACUCCAAAGAUGUGGAUGUUAA